GGAUGCACAAACACUGGGGCAGCUUCAGGAAUGAGUUCAGGAAUGGAGAAUCCACAUUUUGCAUGGAAAGAAACAGGUGGUUAUCUUCAUCUCUUUACUUGGGAUAACUGGACUUUAAAGUGCCUCUGCAAAAUGUGUGGAAUGAGCAGCGAGUUCUAAACUCACCCAUGUGAGUGGACUUUCAGAUUCCAGGAAUUUCUCAGGAAAUGAAGAGGGAUCACCUCCAGGGAAUGCACAUCAAACAGAUGGGUCACACGGGGCUGCCGAUCCCG